rnacentral:rRNA from 1 species
CCCUUAGAUGUUCUGGGCUGCACACGUGCUACACUGGCAUGUUCAGCGAGCUUCAUGCCCUGAUCUGAAAGGAAUGGGAAAUCUUUUCAAAACCUGCCGUGCUUGGGAUAGAUGUUUGCAAUUAUUCAUCUUCAACGAGGAUUGCCUUGUAAGCGCACGUCAUCAGCGUGCAUUGAAUACGACCCUGUAUUCUGUACACACCGCCCGUCGCUCCUACCGAUUGAAGUUUUCGGUGAGUUGACAGGAGGAUUUUUUUGAAACUGGUUCGCCAGUGGAUUUUAGAUCCAAAUGCCAACGAAUCGAUGGCUUUAGAGGAAGGAGAAGUCGUAACA